rnacentral:rRNA from 1 species
AUUGAACGCUGGCGGCAUGCCUUACACAUGCAAGUCGAACGGUAGCGCGGGGCAACCUGGCGACGAGUGGCGAACGGGUGAGUAAAGCAUCGGAACGUGCCCUGGAAUGGGGGGAUAACGUAGCGAAAGUUACGCUAAUACCGCAUAUUCUGUGAGCAGGAAAGCAGGGGAUCGCAAGACCUUGCGUUCUGGGAGCGGCCGAUGUCGGAUUAGCUAGUUGGUGGGGUAAAAGCCUACCAAGGCGACGAUCCGUAGCGGGUCUGAGAGGAUGAUCCGCCACACUGGGACUGAGACACGGCCCAGACUCCUACGGGAGGCAGCAGUGGGGAAUUUUGGACAAUGGGCGGAAGCCUGAUCCAGCCAUGCCGCGUGAGUGAAGAAAGCCUUCGGGUUGUAAAGGCUCUUUCGGUGGGGAAGAAAUUGCACGGGUUAAUACCCUGUGUAGAUGACGGUACCCGACUAAGAAGCACCGGCUAACUACGUGCCAGCAGCCGCGGUAA